GAUGCGAGCAAUGCGAUCCUUUUUAAGCCAAUUAUUACAGGCUUCCAUAUCUCGGCGAGCCUGGGCACUGGUGCCCUCCGUGGGUUGGUCCAUUUUAUUGCUCAGGUUUUCCAGGACUUCUUGCUCAGCGAGAACAUAUUGAAUUUUACGGUGCCAAAUAUCAUAAUUGUCACCAUCCAAUUUCUCGCCCUUAUUUAAAUCAGCAACUAUUUGUUUGGAAGCCAUUAAAUCUCACUUUGUUCAUGCAAUGCGCAGAGAAUGAUAUUUUAAAAUCAGUACACGAUACAUAUAUUCAAUUUUGCUGCAUCUCUAAUUAAUAAAUUAAAAAUUAGAUCAUACAUGCGUAAAGGAAAAUUUCGCUAUGCUCGUAAUCACAUCACACACCAUAUGUCAUAAUUUUUAAACUAUUAAUUAAGAUGCGCAAAAAUAUU
rnacentral:lncRNA from 1 species